GUGUGCUUACUUCAGCCACACCUAUACUAAAACUGUAAUGAUACAGACAUUAGCAUGGCCCUUGUGUAAGGAUGACACAUAAUUUUGUGGAACAUUAUAUACUUUU
ensembl:snRNA U6 U6 spliceosomal RNA